rnacentral:rRNA from 1 species
CCUACGGGAGGCAGCAGUGGGGAAUAUUGCACAAUGGGGGAAACCCUGAUGCAGCGACGCCGCGUGAGUGAAUAAGUAAUUCGUUACGUAAAGCUCUAUCAGCAGGGAAGAAAAUGACGGUACCUGAGCAAGAAGCCCCGGCUAACUAUGUGCCAGCAGCCGCGGUAAUACGUAGGGGGCAAGCGUUAUCCGGAUUUACUGGGUGUAAAGGGAGCGUAGACGGUGCGGCAAGUCUGGAGUGAAAUGCCGCAGCUUAACUGCGGAACGGCUUUGGAAACUGGCGGACUAGAGUGCGGGAGGGGUAAGCGGAAUUCCUGGUGUAGCAGUGAAAUGCGUAGAUAUUAGGAGGAACACCGGUGGCGAAGGCGGCUUACUGGACCGUAACUGACGUUGAGGCUCGAAAGCGAGGGGAGCGAAAGGGAUUAGAUACCCUUGUAGUC